AUGCCAAGGGGGAAACCUGCUGGAAAGAGACCGGCUGCGUCUGCCGAGCGGCGACCAGCCCAAAGUACUAAGAGGAGACAUACCGAUACCGGUAGAUCGACCGCAAAUCCUGUUCCAGCAGUAGAGGACAUCAUUAACGCCGUGUCAAACAGUGAAUCAGCUACCAAUGAGGCUACUGAUGCUGUCUGCACCCCAAGUUUGGAUUCUGCCCCUGUCAAUGGUCAUGGAUUCUCUAUCCAAGGCAGUACAGCAGGUCACAGAUCUCCAUCACCGUACAAAAGCCAAGUUCCUUCUCCAAGACCAAUUCAACCGCACAGAGCCAGAUUCCCUUAUGUACCCAGAGCUGCAGGGCCUAAGUUUUUCCCCAAUUAA
rnacentral:sRNA from 1 species